rnacentral:misc_RNA from 1 species
GAUGAAGAACGCAGCGAAAUGCGAUAAGUAAUGUGAAUUGCAGAAUUCAGUGAAUCAUCGAAUCUUUGAACGCACAUUGCGCCCGCUGGUAUUCCGGCGGGCAUGCCUGUUCGAGCGUCAUUUCACCACUCAAGCCUCGCUUGGUAUUGGGCAUCGCGGUCCGCCGCGCGCCUCAAAUCGACCGGCUGGGUCUUCUGUCCCCUAAGCGUUGUGGAAACUAUUCGCUAAAGGGUGUUCGGGAGGCUACGCCGUAAAACAACCCCAUUUCUAAGGUUGACCUCGGAUCAGGUAGGGAUACCCGCUGAACUUAAGCAUAUCAAUAAGCGGAGGA